rnacentral:rRNA from 1 species
GUGGGGAAUAUUGGGCAAUGGGCGAAAGCCUGACCCAGCAACGCCGCGUGAAGGAAGAAGGCUUUCGGGUUGUAAACUUCUUUUGUCAGGGACGAAAAAAAUGACGGUACCUGACGAAUAAGCCACGGCUAACUACGUGCCAGCAGCCGCGGUAAUACGUAGGUGGCAAGCGUUAUCCGGAUUUACUGGGUGUAAAGGGCGUGUAGGUGGGAAAGCAAGUCAGAUGUGAAAACUAUGGGCUCAACCCAUAGCCUGCAUUUGAAACUGUUUUUCUUGAGUACUGGAGAGGCAGAUGGAAUUCCUAGUGUAGCGGUGAAAUGCGUAGAUAUUAGGAGGAACACCAGUGGCGAAGGCGAUCUGCUGGACAGCAACUGACGCUGAGGCGCGAAAGCGUGGGGAGCAAACAGGAUUAGAAACCCUGGUAGUCC